rnacentral:rRNA from 1 species
UGCAUAUCAUAAGCGGGGAAAAAAACCAACUGGGAUUACCUUAGUACGGCGAGUGAAGCGGUAAAAGCUCAAAUUUGAAAUCUGGUACUUUCAGUGCCCGAGUUGUAAUUUGUAGAAUUUGUCUUUGAUUAGGUCCUUGUCUAUGUUCCUUGGAACAGGACGUCAUAGAGGGUGAGAAUCCCGUUUGGCGAGGAUACCUUUUCUCUGUAAGACUUUUUCGAAGAGUCGAGUUGUUUGGGAAUGCAGCUCAAAGUGGGUGGUAAAUUCCAUCUAAAGCUAAAUAUUGGCGAGAGACCGAUAGCGAACAAGUACAGUGAUGGAAAGAUGAAAAGAACUUUGAAAAGAGAGUGAAAAAGUACGUGAAAUUGUUGAAAGGGAAGGGCAUUUGAUCAGACAUGGUGUUUUUUGCAUGCACUCGCCUCUCGUGGGCUUGGGCCUCUCAAAAAUUUCACUGGGCCAACAUCAAUUCUGGCAGCAGGAUAAAUCAUUAAGAAUGUAGCUACUUCGGUAGUGUUAUAGCUUUUUGGAAUACUGUUAGCCGGGAUUGAGGACUGCGCUUCGGCAAGGAUGUUGGCAUAAUGGUUAAAUGCCGCCCGUCUUGAACAACGGACCA